AUUAAUAAGCGGAGGAAAAGAAACUAACGAGGAUUCCCUCAGUAACGGCGAGUGAAGCGGGAUAAGCCCAGCACCGAAUCCUCCGUCGAUUUCGGCGGUAGGAACUGUGGUGUUCGGGACAGCCUAUGCGGAUUGGCUGGCAGUCUGAGUCCUCCUGAUCGGGGCUUCACCCAGAGCGGGUGUCAGGCCUCUACGACUGCCGGCCGGUUCUCUUGGGUCGUCCUAGGAGUCGGGUUGUUUGAGAUUGCAGCCCAAAGCGGGUCGUAAACUCGACCUAAGGCUAAAUACAGACACGAGUCCGAUAGCGCACAAGUACCGUGAGGGAAAGUU
rnacentral:rRNA from 1 species